GAUAGAACCCCUAACAUGUGUUUUUCUAGUAUUUUUGCACUGUGCGCAUGAGCCACAUUUGUAGUUCCCAUUUGGAAUGGGUGCCAAGAGUGUCUGAGUGGGCUCAGGGGGCAUGUCAGAGCUCACCAAGCUAUCUCCAAUAUUGCGACCAUGCUUAUAGACCACCAGUGGGGGUUCCUUGAAGAGGAGGUGCGUCACCUGAGUGCGUUGAUUCACUGUCGUGGUCAUCCUGUCUGGGUUGGCGCCCCCCCCACUUGGGCUGUGCCGUGGCGGAGAUCUUUGUGGGCUAUACUCAGCCUUGUCUCAGGAUGGUAAGUUGGUGGUUGAAGAUAUCCCUCUAGUGGUGUGGGGGCUGUGCUUUGGCAAAGUGGGUGGGGUUAUAUCCUUCCUGUUUGGCCCUGUCCGGGGGUGUCCUCGGAUGGGGCCACAGUGUCUCCUGUCCCCUCCUGUCUCAGCCUCCAGUAUUUAUGCUGCAGUAGUUUGUGUCGGGGGGCUAGGGUCAGUUUGUUAUAUCUGGAGUACCCCUCCUGUCCUAAUUCGGUGUCCUGUGUGAAUCUAAGUGUGCGUUCUCUAAUUCUCUCCUUCUUUCUUUCUCUCUCUCGGAGGACCUGAGCCCUAGGACCAUGCCCCAGGACUACCUGACAUGAUGACUCCUUGCUGUCCCCAGUCCACCUGGCCAUGCUGCUGCUCCAGUUUCAACUGACCUGAGCCCUAGGACCAUGCCCCAGGACUACCUGACAUGAUGACUCCUUGCUGUCCCCAGUCCACCUGGCCAUGCUGCUGCUCCAGUUUCAACUGUUCUGCCUUACUAUUAUUCGACCAUGCUGGUCAUUUAUGAACAUUUUAACAUCUUGGCCAUGUUCUGUUAUAAUCUCCACCCGGCACAGCCAGAAGAGGACUGGCCACCCCACAUAGCCUGGUUCCUCUCUAGGUUUCUUCCUAGGUUUUGGCCUUUCUAGGGAGUUUUUGCUAGCCACCGUGCUUCUACACCUGCAAUUGCUUGCUGUUUGGGGUUUUAGGCUGGGUUUCUGUACAGCACUUUGAGAUAUCAGCUGAUGUACGAAGGACUAUAUAAAUAAAUUUGAUUUGAUUUGAUUUGA